GGAUCUCUAACUGUCCAUGACUCUUCUCCAUGUCACAAAGGCUUUGAUUCUCCAUUUGAAACAAAGACAUUUAUCUGAGCUAAAGUACGUAGUUGUCAGUAUUCAAACAGGGCUGGACAAUCUGAUCUCAAAUCAGUAUCAGGAGAAACAUUCAGCUUCAUAAUGAGAAAUGGGUCCGUGUAUGUUUUGGUCAUUGGAUUUUCCUUUCAGAAACGGGUAUUAAAAAACAGAAAACGAGUGGUUAUUUGAUUUUCGUUUUAAAAUACAAAAAUUAAAAUUGAAAUACAAGGCGUUUUUCUUUUUCAUGGUCAGAAAGGGAUGAGCGAAAUUAAAAAAAUAUUCGAUUUUCAUUUUCUAUUUCAUAUAACAAAAAAUAAAAUCACUAGAAAACAGAAACGGAAAAAAGGCCUGUUGUUUCAUAUUCUGAGACCGGAUGUUGUCAUUAACAGGACGGUGCUGUGGAGAAGAAACAGUAGACUAGUAGACUGCGGUCAAUCCAGCCGUGAGUCCGAUCUCCGUGGUCAAAUCAGCCGCACUUAAAUUUCGAGUGUACAAGUAUUCUCAGCAUUAUGGUAAAUGCGGAGAAACAGCGUAUUUACUUCCGGUUUUCAAAAUAAAGGUAUUUAGAACAGUAAGCUAUAAUUAAAAUAUGUUACAUUAAAGUGUUUCAUGCGCCCCUGAUGAAUAAAAAAACACUUUAUAUCAAGUAUCUUUACUGCACCAGUGUGGAGAAAUGCCAAAAUAAAAGUCUCAUAUUUAUGCCUCCAGAGAUUGCAUAUUUGACCCUAUUUGAGGUACUGUAAAAACAUAUUGCUCAGUGUUUCCUGGCUACUGAUGGUAUAUUUGACUUUUAUGAGACUACAAGCAUA